rnacentral:rRNA from 1 species
CAUGGAGGGUGAGAAUCCCGUUCAUGGUUAAUCUUAAGGAAGCUCUACGAUACGUUUUCCAAGAGUCGAGUUGUUUGGGAUUGCAGCUCAAAAUGGGAGGUAAAUUUCCCCUAAGGCUAAAUAUUGGCGAGAGACCGAUAGCGAACAAGUACCGUGAGGGAAAGAUGAAAAGAACUUUGAAAAGAGAGUUAAACAGUACGUGAAAUUGUUGAAAGGGAACGAUUGAAGUCAGUCAUACCAACGGGAAAUCAACCUUUUGAGCUUGGUUUCGUGGGUUUUGAAGAGUUUCAAAGCCUUCGGAUUCGCGAGAUUGGGAUCUCUUGGUGUACUUUUUCGUACGGUUAGUCAACAUCGGUUUUGAAUGUCAUAAAAUGACUGGAGGAAUGUAGCUUCGAUCUCGUAUUGAAGUGUUAUAGCCUUUGGUAGAUGUGACGUUUGAGACCGAGGAUUGCAACGGAUACCCUUCAGGGCUAUUCGUCUGAUCUCUGAUACGUUGCCUUGAUGUUGAAAGCUUGCUUAUGAUGUUAGGGUAUUACGGUCAAAAGGUUAGAACGAAUUACAUUCGUUAAGGAUGUUGACGUAAUGG